CGUUGCUAGGCUUUUGUUAGCAUAGCUUUCAAGCUCCGUUUUUUGCCAGCUUGUGUUUAGCUCUGUCAUAGUUGCUAGGCGACAGGAUGACAAGAAAAGGGCGGGAAAAAAAUCACAUCUGAAAGCUACCGACAGGGCUGUAACUGGACAUUCUCUGUAYGAAGACGUGAAUCGUCGCUACGCUAAUACGGCCACACAAAACCAUAACCGUGUUUGUCAAUAGAUUUUAUAAUUACAACGUUUGAAGGGUGGAGAUGGGACACAUGAAAACGACACAACCGAAACACCACCACGUUUCCUCGUGAAGUGCACAUUCCCCACGGACCCUUUCGCAGAGUUUCGAGUUUCGUCCCAGUCUUCCCACUCACCCUCUCUCCUGCUGUUCCUCAGGCAGC